rnacentral:rRNA from 1 species
AUUGAACGCUGGCGGCAUGCCUUACACAUGCAAGUCGAACGGCAGCAUGAUCUAGCUUGCUAGAUUGAUGGCGAGUGGCGAACGGGUGAGUAAUACAUCGGAACGUGCCCUGUAGUGGGGGAUAACUAGUCGAAAGAUUAGCUAAUACCGCAUACGACCUGAGGGUGAAAGUGGGGGACCGCAAGGCCUCAUGCAAUAGGAGCGGCCGAUGUCUGAUUAGCUAGUUGGUGAGGUAAAGGCUCACCAAGGCGACGAUCAGUAGCUGGUCUGAGAGGACGAUCAGCCACACUGGGACUGAGACGCGGCCCAGACUCCUACGGGAGGCAGCAGUGGGGAAUUUUGGACAAUGGGGGCAACCCUGAUCCAGCAAUGCCGCGUGUGUGAAGAAGGCCUUCGGGUUGUAAAGCACUUUUGUCCGGAAAGAAAUCGCACUUACUAAUAUUAGGUGUGGAUGGCGGUACCGGAAGAAUAAGGACCGGCUAACUACGUGCCAGCCGCCGCCGUAAGAC